ensembl:lncRNA
UGCACCAGAAAGAGGAAACCAGCGGCUAAACAACAGCAGCACGUUUAAGCUUGAUCAGCUGUUGUUAGAAUUUAUUUAUUAUUACUUUCUACUCGAGGAUCUUUUUCUACGUAGCUGACGCUGGUAACUGUGCAGGGGCGGAUCUAGCAAAGUUUAGCCAGGGGGGCCGAUAGGGCAUUAACAGGGAAAAGGGGGCACAAAGACAUACUUUUCUUUCUUAUUCUCAUUUAAAAUGUCUAGCUUUUAAUAAAUAAUUAUCCGAAUCUUACACCGAAAGUUUUAAUUUGAUGUAAAAUGAAUAGAAGUCAAUUACUGUAUAUAGUGACUAUUAAGUCUAAUAUAUAUACCCUAGUAAGCUAUAGUACUUUUUCCUUUGGGAAGGUACCAUCUGUACAGUCUGCAAUUUUGUUGAAGAAAGAUGUUGAAUCUAUUUAAUAUUUCUUGAAAAAUAAUUGAUUUCUGUGCAUUUUUUUUCACACUGCAUCAAAUUAAGGUUGAUUACGUUGAUUAAGCAUCAUGAGGUGGAGCGUGAGGGGUGGUUCCCUAUUUUUUAUUUAUUUAUUUUUGUUGUUGAUGGGAGUUGGAACCCUAUUAGUUAGGUUGCUUAAUAUUUACGCUAAGUACUCUUUAAAAUACCAGAAUAGGGAGGAUGGUGUAGGUUUAAGUUUAUUAGAUUGAUCAGUAUUGCUGAACUAUGAAAUAUUUUUUUUUUGCAUAUAGGUAUAACAGAAUAGCUUUAGUGUAGUUGUUGUUUUAAACUUGAGUAUGAACUUGCAGACUUGCAAAAUGCAGCAAGAUAUUUUAAAAAACAGUUUUGUUGAUUAAAAAACACUAUAUCGGAUUCAUAUCGGUAUCGGCAGAUAUCCAAAUUUAUGAUAUCGGUAUCGGUAUCGGACAUAAAAAAGUGGUAUCGUGCCAUCUCUAGUAACUAGUAAAGUAAGAAAUUAUUGCAAAAAAAGAAAUUAGAUUAUGGUUGCUUUCCCGUAAGCACGCUGCGUUACUGCGUUACUAAACCGUGAUUUUGUUUGCGAGAGUGUCUCAUGACAAUGACGUUAGCGUGUGCAACAUUCGUGGUAACAAACGUGUGGA